UAAAGCACCGUAUCCCAUCAAAACUCCAAAGUUAAGCGUGCUUGGGCGAGAGUAGUACUAGGAUGGGUGACCUCCUGGGAAGUCCUCGUGUUGCAUUCC
rnacentral:rRNA from 1 species